rnacentral:misc_RNA from 1 species
CGUACGUCAACUUUGCAUAAAAAGAUUGCAUCUGCUCGUCAUGAUUUCAUCAAACUUUCAGGUUCUGAAAACAAGCUGGAAGCUUUAUUGCAGGUUCUUGAACCAAGUUUGGCAAAAGGAAAUAGGGUAAUGGUGUUCUGUAACACUUUAAAUUCCAGCCGUGCUGUGGAUCAUUUUCUUGGUGAAAAUCAAAUUUCUACAGUCAAUUACCACGGAGAGGUGCCUGCACAGAAGAGGAAG